AAGAAAAAAAGAAAAAAGAGAGGAGUCUACGGCUUUACACAACAGAAAAUUGUAGGGGUGAAACCCUAGCUUCAGGUAUGGCUUGAUCCAGGGGCUCAAACAAGGUCUCCUGACAUUGUCUUCUUUCCCCUGCUCUAUCUCUAGGUUCUGCUAAGUGAAAGAACAAAUUCUAGAAGAAUUUGUUUUACGAGGAGUCAUUAUAAAAUUUUCCUAAGAAAUUGAACAAGCAGGUUUUUUUUUUUUUUAAGAAAUAGACACACCUAUAUUAACAUCAUGGAGGAUGGGCUAGGGGACCAGGGCUACAUUUUGCCUUUUCUGACUAUAGCAUUUCACCUCAUGCUGUACAGGAGGCCUCACCAUCUGUCAUAACAUGCUGUUCUCAGGAUGAGGGGUGGUUAUAAUGUGAUGGGGAAGAAAGUUUGGACCCGGGGACCAGGAUGCUGAGUUUUACUCUGGCAUUUGUACAACGUCUCUGACUUCAGGUGGGAGAGCCUUCAUGUUCCUUUCUGUAAUGGGGGAGAAAACUGUCUAUUGGUUUCUUGACUGGGCAGUUGUGAAGAAAUAACUUGAACAGGUGCCUGGAGGGUGGCAGGUGCUCCCCAGUGUCUCCUCUCUCCCUGACACCUGUGUCCUUCAAAGUGCUCUUGGUCCCUUUGGAGCCACCUCUUGUCCAUCUGGUUGGCCUUCAGUUCAACCCCUUGCUCCGGAGCAAUUGGCCCCUGGUGGUUUAACUGGCUAGGACUAUAUUUUUCCCACACUAGGAAAUGUCUGCGGUGAGGCAGCUUGUGCUGAGGGGGCAGCUUCUGUCCCAGGCUCUUUCUGCUUUCCUGCUCCGCUGUCUUCAACAUGUGGCUUCAUCCUUAGGUUUACAAGGAGUUCCCGUCGUGGCUCAGUGGUUAACAAAUCCGACUAGAAACCAUGAGGUUGUGGGUUCGAUCCCUUGCCUCACCCAGGGGGUUAAGGAUUUGGCGUUGCCGUGAGCUAUGGUGUAGGUCAUGGACUCGGCUCUGAUCCCGCGUUGCUGUGGCUCUGGUGUAGGCCGGUGGGUAGAGCUCUGAUUCGACCCCUAGCCUGGGAACCUCCAUAUGCUGCGGGUGCAGCCC
rnacentral:lncRNA from 1 species